GCUGGAAUGCAAUGGCAUAAUCUCAACUCAUUGCAACCUUCACCUCCUGGGUUCAAGUGACUCUCCUACCUCAGCCUCUCGAGUAGCUGGGAUUAUAGGCACCUGCCACCACACCAGAUAAUUUUUGUAUUUUUGGUAGAGACGGGGUUUCGCCAUGUUGGCCAGACUGGUCUUGAACUCCUGACCUCGUGAUCCAUACACCUCGGCCUCCCAAAGUGCUGGGAUUACAGGCAUGAGCCAACACGCCCGGCAUGUUUUUCCUUUAAAAUCAGUCACAGCAAAAGUCACCGAGCAGACACUGUUCUGCCUUCUUCAGACAUUUUCUCUGGCUUCCUAGGAAUUGGGGUUUUUUUUGUUGUUUUUGUUUGUUUGUUUGUUUGUUUGUUUUAGUGUUAUUCAUCUUUUAGACUGGCCGUUCCCAUCUUAUUUGCACCUUUUGGGGAAAAGUUAACUUGCUCGAAAAUGAAAUGCACCCGAUGGCAUCUGCUGGCUUUACCUCAUGGUGAUGUUCCUUUAUGAACUAGUGACCAAAUGCUUCAUUCUCUUUUCUGAUUGUUUCCCUCCCUUUGCUCAUCCCCCACCUCAGUAAGACAUGUUACAUCAUUUUAAUGAGCAAGUGUACAUUUUUUUCCAGUGGGACUCAAAUUGUACGUUUGCUUCUUGGUCGUACAUGCAUUUUGUUUCACGGAUUUAGUUGUGUCUCCUGUUGUUCUGUGGUCAGGAUACGGGAUCAUUUGCUAGGCACUGAUUUGCUGAACACAGUAGUAUUUCGUUGAGUGGCCCUUCCUUGGAAACAACUGGCAAAUCUGAGGACCCCGUCUCUGCCUCAUUCCUCCUGUUUCCAUCAGAAGACACAGGUCUGGGACUCAGCGCAGCUGACCUGUCUGUCCCUCUCUGCACAGUUUACUCCUGGGCUCUGCAGAGAGAAGUCAGUGCCUCAAUUUUCCAUUGAAAUAUGCACCCUUGGCAUCCUGGCAGACACGUCCUCCAGAGCUGGCUGCAUGUGCAUUCCCUCUGCUUUCCUGGAAGUCCCCUCCUUUCCAUCUACAAUGGGACUUUUAAAAAUACUCACAGUCACUAGUGCACAAGAAGAACCAUUCAAAGCCGGCAUCCAACCUCAGAUUUGCAGCAACCUAAGAUUUGUUUGCAAAGGAAUAGAACGAUAAAGCUUCAACCCACCCACGUUUAUAACUGAGAAGAAAACACACACUUCAUUUGGUAAAUACAGCAAACAACUGAAAGUAUGCUUUGACUCUGUAUUGAGGCCAGUUAGGGGAUGGAAAGGGUGAGGCUAAGCAGGUAAAGGAAAUGGAAGAGAAGGUCAGGAGAAGGAAAAUGUGAGCUAGGCAGGCGGCUCAUGCCUGUAAUCCCAACACUCUGGGAGCCCAAGGCAGGAGGAUCAUUUGAGUCCAGGAGUUUGACCCCAGCCUGGGUGAAAUAAUGAGACUUUGUCUCUACUAAAAAAAAAAAAAAAAAAAAAGUUAAAAACAGUAAUAAAAGGAAAAUGUAGAGGGGAGAAGCAACUGAGAAGAGAGGGGAGAGUGAGAAGGAAUGAGCAGGGAGGUGGAGGGCGUGGGGGUGGCUUUGUUUUGGCCUCAUCUUUCCAGGGAGACAGCCCUGUGGCGAUGGCCAGGCCACGAUGCUAGGCUGCUCUUGGUCAUUACCAGCCCCUGAAAUCAGCGUCCUCAACCCUAGCCCUGUCAUCUCUGCUGGGAGUGGGUCUCUAUUUCUUUUCUGCAAUUUACAUUUAAAGCAGAGUUUACCCUGGAAUUCUGAAGGUUUCGGUGUUGAGGUAUGGUUUGCAUUUUAGAAAUUCAUUUUGGAAAUGUGAAGAUGUCUUCUAUGCGGCUUGAAAGCCCGUCUGACGUUCACAAGCUGUAUGGCUCAGGUCUUCAGUGCCUGAAGGUUAUACAGCAAACCCACCUUGACUUUGACUUCGGAGUCUUUUCCUCCUGAAGCCAAAUCUGUUUCAGCAUUCUGGUCUCGUUAAUUCUCAUGGUGACAGUAUAUUAAUAUGAGCCAAAGAGAAAAUAAAAUUCACUGAAAGAAAAUAAGGCUGAGCCUCAUUACGCCUGUAAUCCCAGCACUUUGGGAGGCCGAGGCGGGUGGAUCAUCUGAGGUCAGGAGUUCAAGACCAGCCUGGCCAACAUGGUGAAACCCCCGUCUCUACGAAAAAUACAAAAAUUAGCCAGGAGUGGUGGCACACGCCUGUAAUCCCAGCUACUCUGGUGGCUGAGGCAGGAAAAUCUCUUGAACCUGGGAGGCUGAGGU
rnacentral:lncRNA from 10 species